GAUGCAUAAAAUUAUACAAUGAUUGUAUCACUCCAAAACACUCUGCAAGUUGGGAGCAUGCAUGGACAUAAAUCACUCUUUAUCAUAAAGUACUGGCAGUGGAAAUGUACUGGCUCUUCUUGUUACGGGGUUAAUUUUGAAAUUCCAUCAUCUCUUUCAGUAAGAUGGAAGACCAGAUAAGCUAAACAAGCCCAGGGUCACAGAGCAAGGCCUUGAAAGAAUGCAGAAAAGAAAGCCAAAUUUUUCACUUGAAACUUAGAGUUUAACUAUUGAACACUCCCUGCCAAAGUUGUUUUCUUCCAUUUUAGUAUGUCCUUUCUUAAGGAAAAAUAAUGCCUUAAAGACAGCUGGUUAUAAAUGAGCAGGGAGAAAACACUUCAGUGAAAAGGAAUAUCUGAAAGA